rnacentral:tRNA from 2 species
GCUGGUAUGGCUCAGUUGGUAGAGCAGCGCAUUCGUAAUGCGCAGGCCGUCGGUUCGAGUCCGACUACCAGCUCCA